rnacentral:sRNA from 1 species
CGAUUAAGGUUCGACUCGAGCGAAAGCGAGAGAACGUUGCCAACGGCAACGGCCCGUAGGGUGAGGAGCGAAGCGACGAAUAAUCCUUCCCCCACCACCA